UCAGGCCUAACACAUGCAAGUCGAACGAUGCCUUCGGGCAUAGUGGCGCACGGGUGCGUAACGCGUGGGAAUCUGCCCUUCGGUUCGGAAUAACUCAGGGAAACUUGAGCUAAUACCGGAUGAUGACGUAAGUCCAAAGAUUUAUCGCCGAAGGAUGAGCCCGCGUAGGAUUAGGUAGUUGGUGGGGUAAUGGCCCACCAAGCCGACGAUCCUUAGCUGGUCUGAGAGGAUGAUCAGCCACACUGGGACUGAGACACGGCCCAGACUCCUACGGGAGGCAGCAGUGGGGAAUAUUAGAGAAUGGGCGAAAGCCUGAUCCAGCAAUGCCGCGUGUAAAGAGAGGCCUUAGGGUUGUAAAGCUCUUUUACCAGGGAUGAUA
rnacentral:rRNA from 1 species